rnacentral:rRNA from 1 species
UGGGGAAUAUUGCACAAUGGGGGAAACCCUGAUGCAGCGACGCCGCGUGAGCGAUGAAGUAUUUCGGUAUGUAAAGCUCUAUCAGCAGGGAAGAUAAUGACGGUACCUGACUAAGAAGCUCCGGCUAAAUACGUGCCAGCAGCCGCGGUAAUACGUAUGGAGCAAGCGUUAUCCGGCUUUACUGGGUGUAAAGGGAGCGUAGGCGGUCCUGCAAGUCUGAUGUGAAAACCCGGGGCUCAACCCCGGGACUGCCUUGGAAACUGUAGGACUAGAGUGUCGGAGGGGUAAGUGGAAUUCCUAGUGUAGCGGUGAAAUGCGUAGAUAUUAGGGGGAACACCAGUGGAGAAGGCGGCUUACUGGACGACCACUGACGCUGAGGCUCGAAAGCGUGGGGAGCAAACAGG